rnacentral:lncRNA from 1 species
CUCCAAACCUCACUUAAUCAGAACCACCAGGAAGGAUCUUGGCAAGACCGGAGAGCCUGCUGAUACUCAGGAGGUGCUAUUUCAACUUUCUUGUAUCUGUUGAGACUUGUUUUGUGUCCACAUAUAUGGUCAAUUUUGGAGAAAGUUCAGUGAGGUUUUGGACAGAAGGUACAUUCUUUUAUGUUUAGGUGAAAUGUUCUAUAGAUAUGUUAGGUCCAUUUGAUUCAUAUCAUCUGUUACUUUUAUUAUUUUUCUGUUUAAUUUCUGUCUGGAUGACCUGUCCAUUGGUGAGAGUGGGGUGUUGAACUCUCCCAAUAUUGAUGUGUUGGGUUCAACACGUGACUUGCGUUUUAGUAAUUUUAGUAAUUUUUCUUUAAUGAAUGUUGAUGCCCUUGCAUUUGAGGCAUCAGUGUUCAGAAUUGAAAUGUCAUCUUGGUGAAUUUUUCCUUUGAGGUGUAUGAUGUGUUCUUCUGCAUCUCUUCUAGAUUACUUUUGGCUGAAAGACUAUUUCUCUACACAUUAGAAUGGCUAUUCCAUCAUGCUUCUUGGGUUAGCCUGCACCUACAAUCUUUGUCCAUCGCUUUAUUCUGAGGGUUUAUUCUAUAGAUUAAAUUCAUUUAAAUUUUUUAUGGUAUUUCAUGAGUAUGCUGGGGGGGUGGGGGCAGUGGUGUUACCUUCAAAAAAGACGGAGCUAUGGGAGGAGAUCCUUUGGUGGCGUUCUGGAGAUUGUGUUUUUGGAGGUUGAAGUCCAGCAUGAUGGAUAAAGGGUCUUGAGAAAAAUUCAGGAGGUUUUUUUUUUUUUUUUUUUUUUUUUUGAUAAGUUUUCAGCAUAGAUGUGAACACCGAGAUCAGUAAGAGUGCAGGGCUCGGGAAAGGCAGGGGAGGAGGGCUGAUGUGAUGAGACCUCUGGGUGCUAGUCCAGCCACUCUGAUUUUGUGCACUGUUCACCAAGGCCUGAGCCUCGUGUUAUGUAAGAAGUCUAGAGAGAUUGAUGGGGAGGCCUGAGUAUAGAUGUUAGGGACUAUGGGGUUUCUCUGAUGUAUUAUUGCUUUAUUCCCGGGUUCUCCCGUAAAGUGAGGUCUCCAAAUGGGACCAAGUUUCUAUGUAAUGCUAAGAUCUCCAGUUUUCUAAGGCUUCCCAUUGCCACAGAUAAUCAGAGGACACUGUGUAACUCAAUGAACAAAUCCUUUAGGUCUCCAGUGAACCCAGACUUCAAAGCCUCUGAGGGUGCCUCGGGUCUACCAAGUCAACAUGUUUUCCUUCCCAAGUAGCUUUGGGGUCUCAAGUUUUUCCCAAUGAUUCAAGGAGGCAGAAGGUGGAGCACACUGUGUUCAUCAAGGAACAAACUCUAGUUCUGGAAGAAUAUUUUAAAAGUGCAAGUACCCAACCCAUGAACAAUGCAUGGCACCGGCUCAAGGAUUUGGAUUGAUGGAUCAAGAUCAAGAUAAAAUAA